rnacentral:rRNA from 1 species
UGGGGAAUAUUGGACAAUGGGCGCAAGCCUGAUCCAGCAACGCCGCGUGGAGGACGAAGGUCUUCGGAUCGUAAACUCCUGUCAGGCGGGACGAAGGCUGCGGGGCAAACAGUCCUGCAGCUUGACGGUACUGCCAGAGGAAGCCCCGGCUAACUCCGUGCCAGCAGCCGCGGUAAUACGGAGGGGGCGAGCGUUAUUCGGAAUUAUUGGGCGUAAAGGGCGCGUAGGCGGCCCGGUAAGUCAAAGGUGAAAUCCCUCGGCUCAACUGAGGAACUGCCUUUGAAACUGUCGGGCUUGAGGCCGGGAGGGGGUAGCGGAAUUCCCAGUGUAGCGGUGAAAUGCGUAGAUAUUGGGAGGAACACCGGUGGCGAAGGCGGCUACCUGGACCGGUUCUGACGCUGAUGCGCGAAAGCGUGGGUAGCAAACAG